UGUUGCUACAUUUUUUUCUCUGGGCUGGAUGAGCUGUGAUUACUUUUUCCCUUCCCCUUUGAACUCCUGCCCACCCAGAGCACAGGGGUUGCAUCCGAAGCCACGGGAGCCCUGUGACCUUCGCCUCCUCUGUCGUGAUGGGAAAGGACAUCAUGAUGACCAUUACUUCUGAAACAGACUCUUGCAAAGGAAGAAGUGAUUGCCAUUUCUCCUAGACUCAGUUUUUUUUUCAAAAAUCACACACACAUAGCGUGUGUUAUUAGUAUUUACAUUACAAAGUAGGAUAAAAUCUGCUGACCGAAUACCUGGGAUAUGUGUGAUCCCAGACCAGUUUUAAAAACAGAGGGCGAUUUCUGGAGAUGAGUACUGCUGGCCAUGAAGUCACAGGGGUGGAGGAUGUCCUGGUGUGUGCUGACUUCACCCCUUCCAAAGGCAGUGCUCGCAAGUGUUUCACCGGGACAGAAGAGACUCUGGAAGCUGAAGGGCUGCAACUGCAAGCCUGCGCGUUUGGACUGCUGAGCCAGCAGAGAAGUGGGCGAGGAGAAGCGAGACGGACCCUUGGAUGCCAACAUGCAGGUGCAGACCUUUCCGCUGUAAGCCCCAUAACCACAAGCCAGCCCAAAAGGACAGUUGGUACUGCGGACAUAACUGAGUGAAGUACAGCAUCGUGAAACUGCAGGAACGCUGUGACAGGUAGGGACCGGCAGUCGUCCUAUUUGGAUACGGCUCUGCUACCACCGCUCUGCAUAUGAAUGAUCCCAUCCGCAAAUCAAACUGAACGCUUAUCACAGCACAAAGCACUUGAUGAAGACUAAUGAUUCCAACGUCGGAGACUGCCCACGUAGCUUACCCUGUGGGAAAGCUCUGCCGAUAAGAGCUUUGAAGGUACUGCGGUGGGGGUGGAGAGCGUCUUCCCCCAGAUAGUCACAGCAGGAGCCCACAGGUCAUUUGUAUUGCUGUCACACGACGCUGAGAUGUCGACAUGGGCGGGAUAUUGUUGUGAGCAGAGUCUGCCGCUGUGAUAGCCUAGAAUGGCCAUGAACCUAGAAAGAAAAGAUUUAGGGGCCAGUGCUGAAUUGAAAGAGAUGAAGAGGGGCGUAGUAUUUUAUAGAACAUUGAUAAGAUCAUCACUUGAUUUGUUUUUUCCCAGAAUAAUCUCAUACCAUUCAUCAGAAAAGGCGCUAAGGCAGCAAUGUGGAUGUCCAGCCCAGUGGAAAUGGUUUCGCAUGAUCUCUGAACUGGACGAAACAUUGGCAAGGGGUGCUGGCAACUGAUGGCAAAGGGUUGGUCACGUAUCCCACCGCCAGGUGUGUGCUGAGCAUCCUGCACGACCUCGUGGUUGUCACAGCAGCACAGGGACUGCACUGACUGAGGACCCACAGACCAACGUGAGACCCCUUCUCACACCUGCUGUAAAUGGAUGCCACGUGAAGAGUGCUGAGCGUAAGAUUCCUUGGGUUUCUCACAGGAUGCAAAGAGCCACCUCCAUGUUUACAGCACUGGAAUUGUAAGAUUUUCACCCUUCGGUCAUUUUUUUCCUUGAUUUUAUCGCAAGUUUUCUAUUACGGAGUACUCUUCCUAAGGAUACUUUACAUAAAAGACAAAAUAAAUGUAAUUGCAUCCAGAAAAUGCUCACGUGUGGUCAGAUGCUGUUAAGAUCACACUAAUUCUUGUGGAAAUUUUGUUCACUAUUUGUUUCUGAUGAGCACAGGGAUUGACAGCAUCCCUUAAAGACAUGAAAACAAAUAACUCCCUUUCAAGCACAGUCAGUAUUCCUUGCGCUGUGCUGGCACAGUGCAUCCCCUGGAUGAGUAUGCAGUGCUGGAUGGCUGCCUCUUCACCUGCAGGGCUUAUGGAGCCCUCACCUUGCUCAGAUUACCUGAGGGUAAUUUCUGGACUGGUUUGUGGCUUUGGGAUGAGGAAUUCAGCUCUCAUCACCGCACGUAGCCUGUGGGAAUGAGCAGGCAUAUGGAAUUAGGCUGCUGGGAGCAGAAGGCACCAAGUGAGCUUUCAAAUGCUCCAUCAGCAGUCAAACAGCAUUUUUCACCUCUACAUCCCUUACUUCCCAAAUCGUGGUUUAUAUUCAUGCACAUUAUCCGUGUAUCUGUAGUAACAAAAUGACUACACAUUUUGUUUCCUCACCUACCUUGGGAAUUACCUCCUGAAUGGACUAAGUACUCCGAUAACAAGAAAAAAAUACUGCUGUCGAUAUGUAAAGGAAGUGUAUAAAUACUUCUGAGUUAACCAUGGUUGAAAUAGCCUUAAUCCAAAUCAGAUGUGUUUUUUUUUGUUUGUUUGUUUGUUUGCAUUGCAAAAGUCAAAAUGAGGAAGGAGUAACUGGGAGCAAAGAAGUCUCUGUAUGUCCUCUGAUGCCAGCUGUGGUGCUGCGAGCUUUAGAUCUGUGUUUUUUCCCCUCAUCUUUAAUUAAGCUUAAUGAUAAUGUGUGAUUUCUCAAGUGUAUUUUAAUGGUGUAGGUUGCUCCAGGUGAAUAAAAAAUAUUGCACAGCUGUUACAGGGCUCUGCCUUCCCUGGGCAUGGGAGCAGCGCUGCACUGUAAGCGUUACUCUGUUAUCUGCAGCUAACUGUUAGAAAUGCUCUUCCAAGCAACAAGAUGCCUUCUUCCCAACUUAUCGGUGACGCUGCGUGUCAAUGGGUUAUUCAAAAGAAGUGCCACUUACAGUUCUGCUGAACUAAAGUGCAGAUGACAGGAAAAAUCAGUGCUUUCCAAACUGAAACAAAAUACCUUCGGUUCCUGCUUGCUGUGCAUCGUGAAUCUGUUUGCACCCCACCAGAAGCCAAGCGAGCAGAAUUUGAUUCAAUACAACUAACAGGAUGUGUUAUUUUCAGGUUCAUGAACAAGAACUGUUGGUUCAUUCUUCUUCCUUUCUCCUUUUCUCUUCAACUGCUGAUUCAUUUUCAGCUAUAAAUCAUCCUGGCUGGAAAUUCUGUGUAAGCCAUUAGAAAUGAAGACACAAAGUGACCAGCUGAAAAGCCAAGGAGCUGCAGUUUGACAUGCUUUCAAUACUGUAAAUGCUAAUACAACCUGAACAACUUCAGUGCAACAACUACUGCUCUGCUAAUUAAGCAACUUUUUAAUGGGACACUUUGAAGCCAGUAGGUAUAUAUUUAUUUCACAAUCGAAACAUCUCUGAAGUCCAGGUGGCAUUAAAUUUUGCAUGAGCUUCUGGUAAAUUACAGAACUUAUUUUCCUUUAAAAGCUGUAGAAAGAAAAUUUCAGGGGGGGGAAAAAAAAGGUGCAUGCGUGUUUCUCUAAUAAGAGAGUUCUGAUUCAGGACAGAUAAUCUCCAGGACAGAUAAUCUCUUUUUACGUAAUCAUGAGAGCGGGCAGAAAAAAAAUGCCCCCGAUGUAAAGCAUGUACAUUAAUCAAACUGUGUGCAACCUGAGCUGCUGAGGAAGCAACAGAGAGUUGCAGCGGGCAAAAAAGCAUUGUAAUUCAUAUUGAUCAAAAGGAACCAUCGUAUGUCUGUUUGGCUAAGUCGCACAGGUCACUUUCUGAGGGCAAAAUGAAGUAAUGAUACUGUAACUAACAUAUUUAAUUUGUUUUUCGUUUCUCCCCCUCAGCCUUUCAAACCAUUCAUUAAGUCUCUGGAGGCUACAUAUAUAGCUGUAUUCCUUGCUCUGUUGAACGCUCCUAAUUUUGAUUCAUUCUGUUGGCAUUUUAAGCUGAAGGCAAAAAUACAUACAUAUACAUAAAAGGGUUAUUGCAAAGUCUUCGUUGUCUUCUUGGGAAUGUGCCUGCCUGCCCAAACCUUGGGAGCAACUUCCUUUUUUGUUAUUAUUCACAUUCCUUCCCUAUUCUAUCUCUCAGUUCACGCCUCCAAUUAAAAGGAUAAUCCAGUUCUGAUCUUCACAUUUUUAUUUCACAUCCUAAGAGGCACUUGAAACAAGCACAUGAUAAUCACAUUACAUAAAUCUUACUUGUAUGCAUUGUACAUGUUUCUGUCAACGUGCUAGUGAUACUCAGUGUGGUUCUAGAACGUUUGCAUACAAAUUAUAUUGCCAGUCACUCCUCACCCUAUUACAUAAACAAUUCACAGAACCAUAGAAUCACAGGAUGGCUGAGGCUGGCAGGGAUACCUGCAUCCCUCUGGCCCAAUUGCUCUCCAGCAGGGCCACCCAGAGCGGGGUGCUCAGACCCACG
ensembl:lncRNA